rnacentral:rRNA from 1 species
UACGUAGGGGGCAAGCGUUGUCCGGAUUUAUUGGGCGUAAAGAGCGUGUAGGCGGCUAGGUAGGUCCGCUGUGAAAACUUGAGGCUCAACCUCAAGAGGUCGGUGGAAACCAUCUGGCUAGAGUCCGGAAGAGGAGAGUGGAAUUCCCGGUGUAGCGGUGAAAUGCGCAGAUAUCGGGAAGAACACCCGUGGCGAAGGCGGUUCUCUGGGCCUUACCUGACGCUGAGGAGCGAAAGCGUGGGGAGCGAACAGG